rnacentral:pre_miRNA from 1 species
AAAGUACUCCCUUUGUCCCAAAAUUCUUGUCUUAGAUUUGUCUAGAUAAGGAUGUAUCAAGUCACAUUUUAGUAUUAGAUACAUCCGUAUCUAGACAAAUCUAAGACCAGAAUUUUGGGAUGGAGGGAGUAGUUG